rnacentral:misc_RNA from 1 species
AAGUCGUAACAAGGUUUCCGUAGGUGAACCUGCGGAAGGAUCAUUCAAAAUAAAAGUGAUUUUAUGGCACUUUUAAAAAAAAUCCAUAUCCACCUUGUGUGCAAUGUAAUGAGAGGGAGAAGAACUUUUUUUUUUGAUCUUCUCUCUUUUAUAUAUUAUAUCAACUCUUUGCUUUGAAACCUGUUUGUCUGAUAACUUAAUUCAAAAAUACAACUUUCAACAACGGAUCUCUUGGCUCUC